UUAUAGAGGACGUCAACGAUAGUGAACAGCAAUAGGUCCAAUAAAUUAUAAUAAUUGUCGAAAAAUUAUUUAAGUGAGAGCAUCGUGAUGAGACGAAGAUCAAAAAGUAAAAAAUAUAAAGAUGAUAAAGAAUAAAAAUUACUUGAAAAUAAAAUAAAAAAGAACGAAAUAAUAAAAACACGAGAUUAAAUUUUAUCUGCAGUAAAAUAUGUUAAAAUAAAAAUACCAAUAUGUAAAUAAGCACGAAAAGUAUAAAGCGGUAGCGGGAGAAACCAACUGCUCUGUUCCUAGUUUCCCCUUGGUUUUCCCUCACCGCGAUCUCACAAUCCGAAGAUUACCACGGCUCUUGGCGUUUGAUCCACAUCGAUCAUCAUGAGCGUGCCCUGAAUCGAUGAUGGUGGAGGCGGCGCGUCGUCGGUGGCGGUCUUCGUAGAUCGAGAAACUUCUCGGCAAAAGAUUUGGAGUGAAGUUCCCUGGACGCGGCCGCUGGACUCGCACUUUUGUUCCCGAGGAGGAGAGGAUCAGAUCAUGGCUAGGAGAUCCAUGGACGGUGCCUGGAAGUGUCUUGGCCAUUGCGAGAUGAGCCGAUAAAGCCUAUUCUCACUGAUCGAGGGUUUUCUGAUGAUUAUCUAACUUCAAAGGAUCAUUACGCUGGUUAAUUUUAUGAGAGCUUGGAGGAAUUCAGCACAAGGGUCAUCUUCUCCCCAUCUGCUCUACGGCACCAAAAGGAUAAACCAGGUUAAUCUCAUGGAGUUCUACCAUUUUCUAGGAUUCAGCAGUGGAACAUUGAUUUCUUGCGGAUGAUGUUAUGGCAACAACCUGUGUGACCCAAUGCUUAUCCAACUACAGUUCAAUCAUUGUCCUUGCGGUGCGCCAACCCUACCGCAGUAUUCUAGGCGAUGUCCUUUUCCCUUCCAUUGAUUGAUGCAAGCAUCUGUCACAGCUUUACCCAUGUACCAGGUCUUGUCUUGCUUCGUGGAGAUUGGGAAGAAAGAUGACUCGUGAAGUAGCAGUAAGAUGGUAAACCCAUUACAACGACACUAUGAGCAACAGUAUGUCACAAGUACAUAAAUGCACAACAGUGGAACCAAAGAGCAGAGAAAGAGGUCUCGUGAAGCAGCAGUAAGAUGGUAAACCCAUUACACCGCUACUUAAUUUACACGCUUGAUUAGCAACAGUAAGUCACAAGUUCAUAAAUGCACAACAGUGGAAUCAAAGAGUAGAGGAAAAGAACAUGAAAGGAAGGCCACAACAAGAUCAUCAGCAAACAGAAGGUAGACACCUCGAAGGGAAAGUGCUCAGGAUCUGUUCUUGAAGGGGAUGGCUCUGAUGACUACCUGGUGGUAGAUGGCAGCAAGGGCAGCUCCAAUGAAGGGACCAACCCAGAAGAUCCACUGAGGAAGCAGCAUCAGAAACACAAAAUUUACAUCAGAAUUGUUGUUGAAAAUUGGAAUUUACAGCUUAAUUGUGCAUCUCUUUGCUACUAUAUCACUAAGCUGAACAUGCUUACAUGGUCAUCCCAGGCAUGGUCCUUGUUGUAGAUGAUGGCAGCUCCCAGGCUCCGAGCUGGGUUGAUGCCAGUGCCGGUGAUGGGGAUGGUUGCCAGGUGAACCAGGAAAACAGCAAAUCCAAUAGGCAAGGGAGCAAGGAGCUGUACAUCCAGACCAAAAUAUUGAGGAGAAAAAUUAUCUGAUCUAGUUCUGGUCUGCAAGAAAAAGCGACGAACAACAUGACACCAGUUCUACACAGGGAGCAAGGAGCACUUACAGGCACAUGGGAGUCCCUGGCAUUCCGCUUGGCGUCGGUAGCAGAGAAGACUGUGUAGACAAGGAUGAAGGUGCCGACAAUCUCGGCACCCAGGCCGUCACCCUUGGAGUAGCCAGAGGCCACCACGUUGGCUCCGCCACCGUUGCUUUCAUAGACGCCCUUCUGGAACCCCUUCACCACACCAGCUCCGCAGAUGGCACCCAGGCACUGCAUCACCAUGUAGAAGACAGCCCUUGUGAGGGACAGCUUCCGCGCCAGGAACAGCCCAAACGUCACAGCAGGGUUGAUAUGGCCACCUGCACAACAAAACAGCAGGUGAGUUUUGCUGUCGGUAGUAUUCUGGACAAACAUGAGAGAAGAAGAACAACGAAGGAUUGAAGGCAUAAGUGAAGUUACCGGAGAUGCCAGCAGUGCAGUAGACCAAAGCAAAGAUCAUGCCUCCAAAGGCCCAGGCAAUUCCUUGGAUGCCGACGGUGGAGCACUUGCUGUUGGACUUGACCACCCCCAUGACGGUAAGGAUGGUGAUGUAGAGGAA